UGUGUAGGCGGUUCUUUAAGUUUGGUGUGAAAUCUCCCGGCUCAACUGGGAGGGAGCGCCGAAUACUGAGGGACUAGAGUACGGGAGAGGAAAAUGGAAUUCCUGGUGUAGCGGUGAAAUGCGUAGAUAUCAGGAGGAACACCGGUGGUGUAGACGGCUUUCUGGACCGACACUGACGCUGAGACACGAAAGCGUGGGUAGCAAACAGGAUUAGAUACCCUGGUAGUCCACGCCCUAAACGAUGCAUAUUUGGUGUGGGCAGUUCAUUCUGUCCGUGCCGGAGCUAACGCGUUAAAUAUGCCGCCUGGGGAGUACAGUCGCAAGGCUAGAA
rnacentral:rRNA from 1 species